GCCGGGCAUGGUGGCUCAUGCCUGUAAUCCCAGCACUUUGGGAGGCUGGGGCAGGUGGAUCACCUGAGGUCAGGAGUUUGAGACCAGCCUGACCAACAUGGUGAAACCCUGUCUCUA
rnacentral:SRP_RNA from 1 species